ensembl:lncRNA novel transcript, antisense to GATA6
GGUCGGCUUGAGUCCCCUGACCCCUACUCUCAGGCUGUCCCGGAGCUUUUAAAGACUGAAAUCCAUCAUCAUUACAGUACGUCGUUGCCAAACCCGAGCAAGCCACACAGAAAUACUGACCACUGAGCCCCGCUGCAACCCACAAAUAUCCGGGGACACAGCGAGGCUGCCUCAUUAACUUUUAUCUCAAUUUUAAAGAAACUGGCAUCCUACACAACCCGAGUUCAAAGUUGUCAUGGGGAUACUGCAACUUACAACACAUCACAAAGGUUUAUUCUUCUCCGCCCUAAAAGCCACUAUUGACUACGGUAAUCAGUAAAAUGCUCAGGUCUUCAAGGACACUGAAGUUAAACAAGGUA